UCUGUCACCUGACCCGGCCCUAACCAGGAACCGCCGCGCUCCACUCG
rfam:Otolemur garnettii contig014003, whole genome shotgun sequence.